rnacentral:rRNA from 1 species
GACGAACGCUGGCGGCGUGCCUAAUACAUGCAAGUCGAGCGAAGUUUUUCUGGUGCUUGCACUAGAAAAACUUAGCGGCGAACGGGUAAGUAACACGUAAAGAACCUGCCUCAUAGACUGGGACAACUAUUGGAAACGAUAGCUAAUACCGGAUAACAGCAUUAACUGCAUGGUUGAUGUUUAAAAGUUGGUUUUGCUAACACUAUGAGAUGGCUUUGCGGUGCAUUAGCUAGUUGGUGGGGUAAAGGCCUACCAAGGCGACGAUGCAUAGCCGACCUGAGAGGGUGAUCGGCCACACUGGGACUGAGACACGGCCCAGACUCCUACGGGAGGCAGCAGUAGGGAAUCUUCCGCAAUGGGCGAAAGCCUGACGGAGCAACGCCGCGUGAGUGAAGAAGGAUUUCGGUUCGUAAAGCUCUGUUGUUAGGGAAGAAUGAUUGUGUAGUAACUAUACACAGUAGAGACGGUACCUAACCAGAAAGCCACGGCUAACUACGUGCCAGCAGCCGCGGUAAUACGUAGGUGGCAAGCGUUGUCCGGAAUUAUUGGGCGUAAAGCGCGCGCAGGUGGUUUAAUAAGUCUGAUGUGAAAGCCCACGGCUCAACCGUGGAGGGUCAUUGGAAACUGUUAAACUUGAGUGCAGGAGAGAAAAGUGGAAUUCCUAGUGUAGCGGUGAAAUGCGUAGAGAUUAGGAGGAACACCAGUGGCGAAGGCGGCUUUUUGGCCUGUAACUGACACUGAGGCGCGAAAGCGUGGGGAGCAAACAGG